GGCUCGGCGGGAGAGCGCUUCCUUACCUGUUUUCUUGAUGUGGGGAAGAGGUCACAGGUUCAAUCCCUGUAGCGCCCA
rnacentral:tRNA from 1 species